rnacentral:lncRNA from 1 species
GCAGAACUAUGGGGUGAGAGUGGAGUAAUCCCCGUUAAGGGAGAGCAAGAGAGGAGUUUAUGAAAUAGAAGUUAUUCUGGGAAGCCACAAGCUUUUCAAAAGUUGUUUUGAGGAACUUUGCAAAUGAUUGAAGACUAGGGGAGAGUCUGAUGGAGUAGGCAGGCUGUUCCAAAGGAAAGAUGCUGCCCAUUAGAAGACCUGCAAGUGUGAGUUAGCAGUAGAGUGGAGAGAUGGAGAAGGAGCACAGCCACGGAUUAGUGAAGAAAUUUAACAGGGGCUAGAACUGUUUAAAGCUUUAUACAUAAGGGUUAGUAUUUUAAUUUGACUCCUAUAGGAUACAGAAUGCCAAUGUAAGUACUGACAAGGGCACUGACCAGGGGAGGGCAAGGUGUGAGAGUAGCAGCAGGAGAGAAAAAUCCACCUGGCAGCAGCAUUACAGAUUGUAGUGAGGCAGUAUGGUUUCUGGUGAGACCAAUUAGGAGAGAAUUACAGUACUCAAUACAUCAAAUUACUGGAGCAUGCACAAGCUCCUUAGCAAUAUCUUGCUAAGAAAGUGGUGGACGCCAACAAUGUUUUUAAGGUAGAAUCGGUAGGAUUUGGCAACAGACUAGACAUGACACCAGGUGAUGCCAGAAUCAAAAAUAACACCAAGUCAGCAAGCUUGCAAGGACAGGCUGAAGUGGGUACCAUAAACUUGCAGGGAGAGUGAAAGAGGAUGAUUAGUAUAAAGAAUCUUAGUUUUUGAGAGAUUGAGUUUCAAAAAGCAGGCGGAUAUCCAAUCGGAAGUGGAAAAAAGGCAACCUGGUAACGUGUUCUAGGAUAGCAUGGAAAAAAACAGUGGAGGAAAGAUAUAUCUGGGUGUUAUAGGUAAAACAGGUGGUAGUGGAAUCCAAAGGAAUUAAUACACGUGCCAACUAUAAAGACAGAACAAAUGGGGACUUCAACCGAACAUUGGGGGACUCCAACCGAGCCAGGACGAGGGGAUGAGGGGAGGAGGUGUUAAAAAAAAGAUAUGAAUAAACAUUGACAGAGAUAGGAUGAGAAAGGAUAGUUUCACAGAGGUAAAGGGAUUGAAAAUUUUGAAGAAAUAAGUCAUGAUCAACAGUGUCAACGGCAGCAGAGAGGUCUAGAAGAAUUGGUAUAGAGGACUGGCCUUUGGCUUUAGCUGCGAUUGGGUUGUUAGUUACUUUAAUCAGAGAGGUUUCUGUAGAAUGGAGCAGACGGAUGCCAGAUUGAGGAGGGUCAAGAAGAGAGUUGGAACUGCGAAAGCAUGCAAAAAGUAAAGACAAGUAGUUCAAGAACCUUUGAGCAGAAAGGGAGCAGGGAUAUAAGACUAUAGUCAGAAGGGGAAGAUGGGUCAGGACAUGGGACAAUGCCAGAAAAAAGAGAGCAGUUGAAGAUAUGUGUUAAGGAUGGCACAAGAUAAGGGAAGAGAGAUCUGGUAAGGUGAGAUGGGAUGGGAUUACACGAACAAAUGGUGGAGCGUGAGCAAAGGAGAAGCUCAGCCACCUCCUGUUUAAUAACCUUUGGAAGGUUUGCCAAUUUAUAUCUUCAUGAUGAUCCUCUUGUAUCCUAAUAUAUGUGAACUAAAUGGCAGGAAAAUUGACCUAUUAAUGUUUUGAAAAAUAUAUACAUUAUAUUUUCAUUAUGUGUAUAUAUUUAGCAGUUACGCUGAUUGUCCCAUUUCUGCAACCUUUUGGUCAUCUGAAACAUAUUACAAAUAUGAAUAAGACCAUCAUACUGUCCAAGCUAAUUCUAAUGAAUACAUAAUCAUAUCUAUCUGUCUUUGUGUCUCUAAUAAUGAAUAUUAGCAGGGGGCUUUCCUGGAACCCAUAAAAAGCUUUUAUAAUCUACCUCAUUGUCAUUAAAGCCCUUGAUAUUGAUAAUGUCUACUCUUGAAACUAGGUCAAUUAAAUAAAAUUAAAAAAAACAACAAAACAAAGCUAUAAGGUUCCAUCAAAACCACAAAAAUAAAAAUAUUCAUAUUCUACCUUAUAAAAAAAAUAAAGAACUUAUUCAGAGACAGAAGCAUUUAUAGACUCUGCUGUUUGCUUAGCCGAGUUUGAACUCAGUAAAACACAAUGCAUCUCGGACCAAGUCUAAAGUGAAAACGCCUAAAGAGCAUCUGGGAGAGUCUGCUUAGUUAUAUUUAGAGUUUUGGUCACCUGGCCCUGUUUUAAAGUAGGAGGAGUCAUUAGGUCAUAGUACUAAGUCAAUGGGAGUCCCUGGCUCUACAGUGUAUCUAAUCUGGAGACUAAGCACCCCUUUGUCCUUUCAUAUGAAAGCUAAAUGGCUUAGAG